AUUGAACGCUGGCGGCAGGCUUAACACAUGCAAGUCGAACGGUAACAGGAAGCAGCUUGCUGCUUCGCUGACGAGUGGCGGACGGGUGAGUAAUGUCUGGGAAGCUGCCUGAUGGAGGGGGAUAACUACUGGAAACGGUAGCUAAUACCGCAUAAUGUCGCAAGACCAAAGAGGGGGACCUUCGGGCCUCUUGCCAUCGGAUGUGCCCAGAUGGGAUUAGCUUGUUGGUGGGGUAACGGCUCACCAAGGCGACGAUCCCUAGCUGGUCUGAGAGGAUGACCAGCCACACUGGAACUUAGACACGGUCCAGACUCCUACGGGAGGCAGCAGUGGGGAAUAUUGCACAAUGGGCGCAAGCCUGAUGCAGCCAUGCCGCGUGUAUGAAGAAGGCCUUCGGGUUGUAAAGUACUUUCAGCGGGGAGGAAGGGAGUAAAGUUAAUACCUUUGCUCAUUGACGUUACCCGCAGAAGAAGCACCGGCUAACUCCGUG
rnacentral:rRNA from 1 species